CCUACGGGCGGCAGCAGUGGGGAAUAUUGCACAAUGGGGGAAACCCUGAUGCAGCGACGCCGCGGGAGUGAAGAAGUAUUUCGGUAUGUAAAGCUCUAUCAGCAGGGAAGAAAAUGACGGUACCUGAUGAAGAAGCCCCGGCUAACUACGUGCCAGCAGCCGCGGUAAUACGUAGGGGGCAAGCGUUAUCGGGAUUUACUGGGGGUAAAGGGAGCGUAGACGGCAGCACAAGUCUGGAGUGAAAUGCCGGGGCUUAACCCCGGAACUGCUUUGGAAACUGUGCAGCUAGAGUGCAGGAGAGGUAAGUGGAAUUCCUAGUGUAGCGGUGAAAUGCGUAGAUAUUAGGAGGAACACCAGUGGCGAAGGCGGCUUACUGGACUGUAACUGACGUUGAGGCUCGAAAGCGUGGGGAGCAAACAGGAUUAGAUACCCUAGUAGUC
rnacentral:rRNA from 1 species